GGGGCCAUAGCUCAGUUGGAAGAGCGCCUGGAUGGCAUUCAGGAGGUCGUCGGUUCGAUCCCGUCUGGCUCCACCA
rnacentral:tRNA from 2 species